UCCAGCUCAGCUGUCCCAUGCCCUUAAUUAGUCAGAGAUGUUUGUUAAAGCUUUUUAUUGCAUGAAUAGUUUAUCCUCUUGACGUCGAGGUUAAAUGAUUUUAUUUUACCUCCCUGUAAGGUCAAGUUUAACACCAAGCCGUAACCAGCCAGUCGUUCUAUGAGUGACGCCUUCAGAACAAUACAGCACUCUGACAUAUGUUCACCCUCCUCUGACACUCCAUUUAUCAAAAACAAGAACAGGGUAUGUAUUUGCAUUUGCUGUCAGACAGUCAAUGUUUGAGUCUUUGACAGAGCUGUAGACGAUCCUGUCAGUGCUGUUUCAAUGCUUAAAAUCUCAGCUAUGAUCAUGGUGCCUCUCCAGUGGCAGUCCUGUUACGGUACAAUGCUGCUGGGAAGCCUCGGAUCAUUCGUGUCCCGUUUGCUUUGACGCAGCACUGUUGCACACUAAGGACUUCCCCCGUGACAACUUCCUCCAGCGGGACAAUGCGCCAUGCCACUCCACAGAAAAAUCCUCAGUAAUGGCUCGAGAAGCACGACAAAAAGCCCGAGGCAUCGACCCAGCCUCCAAAGUCCCCAGAUCCCAGUCCAAUCAAGCAUCAGCUUGAAGCUCAGGAGCUACCCCAAUCCACUGAGGCCCCGCCCACUGCCCCGAGUAUCUGACUCCAGGAAAACCCUUAGUUCAAAACUCUGAGGGCCACAGCUGCAUUAGGUAAUCCUACAGUGAAUUGCAGCACACACCUAUCUAUCUACAUAUGUAUGCAUCCUAUUGCGUCUGCAGUCUCUGAGUCAAACACACACCAGUUAAAUUAAGAAGAGAGAGUAAACAAACCCUAAUUAUUACAAGCAUGCUCAUGCUGUGGAUGUAGGCGAACACAUGCAUGUGUGCACGCAGCGAGCAGCAAGUAUCUGAGGACCACCUGCAGUACAUCUGUGUUAUGGCUGCCAGAGGCUGCAUUACAUCAACUCCCGUCUCCAUCCACCCUCCUCCCCUCUCCGCUCUCUCUGAUGUCCACACAAACACAACCUUUAUGCACGCUAGCGUGAUGUUCAAUCGCAUCACCCUCUGCACGCAUACACCCCCCAACCCCCAAGACUAAUACCACCUCAUGCCACCCACGAGCCUCUUUCUCCACACAGCUGCAGAGCUGGUCUAGACCCCUGUUUCUAUAAAUAGCAAGCAGCACCCAAAUCUAACACUGCCAGCCAAUUGUGCAUUGAGCAGCUAUGUCUCCAAAUACGGAUCAACACAGAGAAGCAGCACGGGAUGUUUCUGAUCUACAUGUGACUACAACAUAAAGGUGCUACGCUGAUAAUUUUGUGGAGCUCAGUGUGCACGAGAUAAAUAAGUAACACGUCAGCUUUCCUCUGCUUCUCAGUCAUUAGCAACCACUAAUGUACCAAAAGCUAACUAGCGUCUCAGUUAAGCCAGCACCGACCUUGUUAUUGACACCUCUAAUGAUAACCAUCAUCACCUCAAUAUUGCAUUAAAUCAGCUCAAACUAAUUAUCAUAAAUGUCACAAGCAGCUGAGUGAAAAGUAAACAAGUGGUGUGAUUAACAUGGACCUGCAUGCUGUGUGUGUCCUUUGGCAAACCUCCCUGUGCAGCACUGACCCGCAGCGCUCGCGGGGAUCGUGUGUGCUGAGACACCAACAGCAGCAAAAUGCUCUCAGACCCUGAACAAAGCUAUUAUUUUUGGAGACACGGGGUAUAAGGUACAUAAAUUCAGAUUUCACAGCCGAAUGUACGACUAAGAAGUUAUUUUGUUCACGCGUCGUCUGAAAAAUGACCUCCGAAAAAUAGAGUUAGGACAUAAAAAUAGCAGAAUCAACAAGGCCGAGCAGUUCCUAACAACCACCACAGAAACUCUGCAUGUGCUCAUAUCUGCCACUCUGCUUUAGACAGAUCAGCGUCACAGGGUGCCGUGUGGAUCCGUUUCUCUGACUUUAAAGACUCAAUGCUUCAUCCCUUCAUUAAGCAGCAUGGCAGCAUCACCGAGGACCCGACUGAUCUAAUGAGUCAUGCAUUAACCAGACGCUACAUUGUGAUGGUGCUUGGAUACAUUUAUUGACACAAGGAAAUCGCAUGGGGAGCUUUGCACACGGCUCACGAGUAAAUGGAGGAAGUGAUGGAGAGGCCACUUGUGAUGUGCAGUUUGAGGCGAGAGCUCUGACAAGUGGUGAAUAAUACAUAGAGAGAGUUGUAUGUGAGCAGACAGCAGAGGAAGGCAGAAGAAAGAGAAGUGACAAGAGAAGCACCGUGCACACAGGAGGUCACGUCUCUAACUGUGUUUCUGUUGUCAGAUCUCAGGGGUACUCUACGGUGGCCCUGAGAGGUCAAACACAGUGCAACGAGCAAACAGAAAAAUGCUGCAAACGCACACUGAACACAGCUGAAGUGUUUCUGGGGACGAGAUAACGAGACGGACCAGCUGCAGAAGUGACAGAAAACGUGAAGGAUGGCAGCGACACACUUUAAUGAAGCGGCGUUGUCUUUGAAUCACAUGAUUCUCGUGGGUCAGGCUGUCAAACUGAUCUUAUAGGUUAGAAUGAAGAAUGAAACUGAGGUUAAAGGACCGACUGCAACCAUGUUUGAACUGAAUAUACGAGCAGGCAAACGUGUUAUGUGGCCGCAGUAAUCAGUGACCUCGUCGGGACACACGAAUCCUGUUGUGCCUGAGAAAGAUUUCAUAAUUACAGGUUAUUAAAUCUUGGCUGGUUUUGUUUGGUAAACACAGCAAAGAUGCUGUUGCUACACGUUGAAACCUUGACCUUAAAAACCAAACGCUGCUCUGUAAUUAAAAAACUGGCAUUAACAGUGAAUGGCCUCGUCCGUGCGCAGAGUCCGGCCCAGAAUCUUUUAUCGAUGUUUCUGUACAAAUUAGUCUGACUUUGUUUGAAACAUGAAGUUCAUAAGUUUUGAAGCUUUUUGUACGAAGCCGUGUUUUAUGCAGAUAUUUAUAUUGAUUUAAAAAAUGGAGCGCAGCAGCUGUUAUUAUGAAAAAGAACUGAACUGAAGGCCUGCACGUCACAGAAAAUGACUCGAGAUCAAUGAAGCCCACACUCAGCUGUGAUUUAAAAUUCAAAUUGGAGUAUUUCAGCGCUCCCGUGGCAAUACUGUAUGCAAAUCCAUAAGGCCGAAUCAAUCCUGAAUUACAUAACUGGCCUGGUUGAAGCAUAUCUGCUUUAUAAUCAAGCCAGAGAUUUCAGAGCUUUUAAUAAACACCUCAUUAAACAAACCAACAGGAAAGGAUGUGAAAUUAGCAGCUGGUGGAAGCACAGUUAGAAGCAUGUCAGACUGCAAAGGUUAUGAACUCCUUGCACAUACUGCUCGCCCCGUGUGUUGCCCUUGUACAUACAAUUAGUUCAUCUGCAUCACCCAGGUGUUGUAGCACCUGUCCCCUCCGGCUAGUGUCACCAUGACAGACAGCAGCGCAGAGAAACGUGUCACAGUCUUCCACACCAAUUUACUUUACACAUCAGUCCUCAAGUCUGAGAUAUGAAUUCUUAUCUUUAGUCUUUGAAUUAAAAAUAGUUACACUGAAUAUCUAAUAUACAGCAAUAUUCUAAAAAUAGAGGAAUUUAUCUUCUUAACACAGCUGCAUCUCUUUGGUUUCACGUCACUGGACAGAUAUCAGGUCAUAGCAGCUUUCAGAGACUCUCUCUGCUUCUGAAGCCAGAUCAGAUUCUCCACCUGAGCACAUUCCUUCUGUUUGCUGUGAAAAGCAUUAAGCAGACAUGACGUAAUGGCACAUAAAGAGUGUGAAACGGAUCAGUUUCACAGCAGCGAUAACC